UUUCAAAUCAGUGAAAUUAAUCUCCCCGUGAAGAAGCGGGGAUACUCAUAUAAGACGAGAAGACCCCAUGGAGCUUCAAACCCAACUACACCCCUAGCUCUUAUAGCCCCACAACCCCCCUAGGCACCGUGUGCUUGGUUUUAGGUUGGGGCGACCGCGGAGUACAAUAAAACCUCCACAAUGAAUGGGAACACCCCCUUAUCUGAGGGCCACACCCCCUAAGAAUUAGAACACUAACAUAAAAUGAUCCAUUACUUGAUCAAUGAACCAAGUUACCCUGGGGAUAACAGCGCAAUCCAUUUCAAGAGCCCCUAUCGACAAAUGGGUUUACGACCUCGAUGUUGGAUCAGGGUACCCCAGUGGUGCAGCAGCUACUAACGGUUCG
rnacentral:rRNA from 1 species